rnacentral:rRNA from 1 species
UACGGGGGGGGCAAGCGUUGUUCGGAAUUACUGGGCGUAAAGGGCGCGUAGGCGGCUCAAUCAGUCGGGCGUGAAAGCUCUGGGCUUAACCCAGAAAGGUCGUUCGAUACUGUUGGGCUAGAGUGUGGAAGAGGCUACUGGAAUUCCGGGUGGAGCGGUGAAAUGCGUAGAGAUCCGGAGGAACACCGACGGCGUAGGCAGCGCCCUGGACGACACCUGACGCUGAGGCACGAAAGCUGGGGGAGCGAACAGG